UUUAGAGCGGCCCGCGUCUGAUUAGCUAGUUGGUGAGGUAAUGGCUCACCAAGGCGACGAUCAGUAGCUGGUCUGAGAGGAUGAUCAGCCACAUUGGGACUGAGACACGGCCCAAACUCCUACGGGAGGCAGCAGUGGGGAAUCUUGCGCAAUGGGCGAAAGCCUGACGCAGCCAUGCCGCGUGAAUGAUGAAGGUCUUAGGAUUGUAAAAUUCUUUCACCGGGGACGAUAAUGACGGUACCCGGAGAAGAAGCCCCGGCUAACUUCGUGCCAGCAGCCGCGGUAAUACGAAGGGGGCUAGCGUUGCUCGGAAUUACUGGGCGUAAAGGGAGCGUAGGCGGACAUUUAAGUCAGGGGUGAAAUCCCGGGGCUCAACCUCGGAAUUGCCUUUGAUACUGGGUGUCUUGAGUAUGAGAGAGGUGUGUGGAACUCCGAGUGUAGAGGUGAAAUUCGUAGAUAUUCGGAAGAACACCAGUGGCGAAGGCGACACACUGGCUCAUUACUGACGCUGAGGCUCGAAAGCGUGGGGAGCAAACAGGAUUAGAUACCCUGGUAGUCCACGCCGUAAACGAUGAUUGCUAGUUGUCGGGAUGCAUG
rnacentral:rRNA from 1 species